GACGAACGCUGGCGGCGCGCUUAACACAUGCAAGUCGAACGGAAAGGCCUGCUUUCCCUUGUGGAUUGCGGGUACUCGAGUGGCGAACGGGUGAGUAACACGUGAGUGAUCUGCCCCCAACUUGGGUAUAAGCCUGGGAAACUGGGUCUAAUUCCCGAUAGGACUGCAGGGUGGUGCCUGUGGUGGAAAACGAUUUUCUAGUGGUUGGGGAUGAGCUCGCGGCUUAUCAGCUUGUUGGUGGGGUAAUGGCCUACCAAGGCGGCGACGGGUAGCCGGCCUGAGAGGGUGGACGGCCACAUUGGGACUGAGAUACGGCCCAGACUCCUACGGGAGGCAGCAGUGGGGAAUAUUGCACAAUGGGCGGAAGCCUGAUGCAGCGACGCCGCGUGGGGGAUGACGGCCUUCGGGUGGUAAACUCCUUUCGACCGCGAGGAAGCCACCUGGUUGGAAGGGUGGUGACGGUAGUGGUAGAAGAAGCACCGGCUAACUACGUG
rnacentral:rRNA from 1 species